rnacentral:rRNA from 1 species
GACGAACCGUGCGAACGUUGUUCGGAAUCACUGGGCUUAAAGGGCGCGUAGGCGGACCCCCACGUCCGGGGUGAAAUCCUCCGGCUUAACCGGAGAAUUGCCUGGGAUACUGGGGGUCUUGAGGGAGGUAGGGGCACGCGGAACUUCCGGUGGAGCGGUGAAAUGCGUUGAUAUCGGAAGGAACGCCGGUGGCGAAAGCGGCGUGCUGGCCCUCUUCUGACGCUGAGGCGCGAAAGCCAGGGGAGCGAACGGG